rnacentral:rRNA from 1 species
GGACGAACGCUGGCGGCGUGCUUAACACAUGCAAGUCGAACGAAGGACGGGAAGAGCUUGCUCUUUCCGGAAUUGAGUGGGCAAACGGGUGAGUAACACGUAAACAACCUGCCUUCAGGAUGGGGACAACAGACGGAAACGACUGCUAAUACCGAAUAAGUUCCAAGAGCCGCAUGGCCCAUGGAAGAAAAGGUGGCCUCUACCUGUAAGCUAUCGCCUGAAGAGGGGCUUGCGUCUGAUUAGCUGGUUGGAGGGGGUUAAACGGGCCCACCAAGGCGACGAUCAGUAGCCGGUCUGAGAGGAUGAACGGCCACACUGGAACUGAGACACGGUCCAGACUCCUACGGGAGGCAGCAGUGGGGAAUAUUGGGCAAUGGGCGAAAGCCUGACCCAGCGACGCCGCGUGAGGGAAGAAGGUCUUCGGAUUGUAAACCUUAGUUAGCAGGGAAGAAGAAAGUGACGGUACCUGCAGAGAAAGCCACGGCUAACUACGUG